rnacentral:rRNA from 1 species
CCUACGGGGGGCUGCAGUGGGGAAUAUUGGACAAUGGGCGCAAGCCUGAUCCAGCCAUGCCGCGUGAGUGACGAAGGUCUUCGGAUUGUAAAGCUCUUUUGGCGGGGACGAUAAUGACGGUACCCGCAGAAUAAGCCCCGGCUAACUUCGUGCCAGCAGCCGCGGUAAUACGAAGGGGGCUAGCGUUGUUCGGAAUCACUGGGCGUAAAGCGCACGUAGGCGGAUGUGCCAGUCAGGGGUGAAAUCCCGGAGCUCAAAUCCGGAACUGCCUCUGAUACAGCACGUCUUGAGUUCGAGAGAGGUGGGUGGAAUUCCUAGUGUAGAGGUGAAAUUCGUAGAUAUUAGGAAGAACACCGGUGGCGAAGGCGGCCCACUGGCUCGAUACUGACGCUGAGGUGCGAAAGCGUGGGGAGCAAACAGGAUUAGAUACCCUUGUAGUC